CAGGGAUUUUGUUGUGCAGGUGCUUGUGUCAACCGUGGCUCUCUGCUUGCUGUUCUGAACAGGAGUGCCGAUGGAGACUGGCCUGCUCUGGGAUGUAUCCACUUGGAUUUUCUCUGUGGAGAACUCCAGAUGAAGAAAAGAAGAGAUUUUGAGCAAAUUGUAAGAAAAGUCAUGGCUACUGAAAUGCCUCAGAAGGAGGUGACACAUAGGAAAAACAGAUUCUCUAUCUCUCAGAUGACAUCUCAAUCUCACUGCUGUCACCACUUGGAAAGAAUUUUGAGUAAAAGAAGUAAAAUGCUUUUCUAGUAGAAAUCCCUUGUCUGAAGGUCACAGAAGCCUACAUAUGGAUUGGCUGUGGGAAUUCUGAUACCCUCCCAGAUAUUUUUAAAGAAUCCAGAAGAGUCCAGGAUUAAAGGGAAGUGCAAGGAUUCCCAUUCUCUUCCGAAGCAUCAAAGAGAAUAUAACCAGAAUUUUUUUUUGCUGGGAGAAGAUUGUCACUGAGCUAACAUCCAUUCUGGUUUUCUCUGAGGACCAUUGUAAAAAUUCAUUCUCUUGGGUAGCUGGUCUCAGGACAGGCCAUUAGGAGCUGCUGCCAGAGAGCACAAUCCUCUAAGGUCGGUCCAAUUUUCUCUGUCCUCUCACUCCUUCCCUUCCCGCAUUUAUAUCUUGCCUCUUUCUCUCCCUUCUAGUUUUUGCUCUCUUUCUCCUUUCCUCUAUCAAAUAUUAGGUUCUCCAUAUAUGCCUGGUACUUGGCCCCAUACUUUCAUUGCUCUGCCCCAUUGUGUUCGAGUCACCCCCCUUCAAUUCUCCUUUGCCUUUUCCCAGCCUCAAGCACCCCAAGUCGCGAGGAAACAACCCGGUCUCCAGAGGCAUCUAUCUGAGCAUUUCCUGAGUCAUCAUCUCCCCUCUCGUAUCCAAAUGUUUCAGGGGCAUCUGGGGAGGCUUUCCAAAGUUACUGUGAUGUUGCUUGGGAAAUAUUAAGAUAUUAAUCCUGUAUCUCAUUUGAUGGUGACCAUUAUCAUUUGCAGUGGAGCUGCUCUUCACUUCUAUCUUCUUUUAGAAUCACUUAUAGCUGAAAAUGUCUUAAGGGCCCAAUGAGGCUGAAUGUAAAAUACAUAAUAUCUUCUAGAUAAAAAGACAAUGGGGAAGAUCCGUCUCUUAGGAAACCAGCUUGCUACCUCCAGGGACAGUACCCAGGAAGAAGGUAGUCUACUCUGUUUCUCUCUUUCUUUUUUUAAACUUUAAUGUAAUGAAAACCACACCAUUUAGAAAUGAUUCUAAUUCCAGUUUCAAGUCCCAUUCUUUUCUCCAGUCAUGCACGUACUUAGACUUUUUAUUCCUUCAUUAACACAGGGAAAAUGCAAACCAUUACGACAGUUAGCAGAUAUAAUUUUAGACAAAUACAACUUCUUAUCAAAUAAGCCUGCAAUAAGUAUUUGAUGAACAGGGCUCUUCAA